rnacentral:sRNA from 1 species
CAGGCUUGAUCUCAGUGGACGAAGGCAUCUGGGCUGUUCAAAAGAUCCUUGUCUACGGGUUCGAUGAUAUCCUAUUGCUCUGAAAAGCAUUUCAGGCGCACUGUCAAUGGUGCUGGGGAGACGUUACUCGGGUAUGCGGCGUUCAACCUCGCUCUCGCCAUAAAAGGCUGUGCAAUGAGUAAUAACAUGAGUACUAACUAGAAGGUAUGAGAGAGAUGGGUAAUUUGGCAGUACUUCCACCUAAAAUUGCUAAUUCUCCUCAAGGCAGAUCAAGACAUACAAGCUCUAUAUGAAAGCGGAGAAUGUGUUGGGUUGCUAACCAAUUAGCAAUCCAUCUUGGUAGCCCCCAUACAGCUGAGUGCUCACUGGUGCCUCUAUCCCUCGUCGGGAAGAAGACCUGCAAUUCCUUUCAAGGCGAAACUUGUCUUGGGCGAUGAUACUGUACAGUACAUCCCCCAUCAGUAGGCAAUGUAUCUUGCUGCUCGGCGAAAGUUCGGAGUUUGACACGCAUUGAUUGUGCUUGUUAAUGCGGUUUGAGACCCUGAGUAAGUCGCUGCAGGGGUUUUUACUUUGCUGAUACAGCAUUUUAGCCUGCGGAAGUUGCAGCUGCGCCACAUUGUUAUGGAUUCGAUUCAGUGGGAAAUAUAUAAAGGGCACCUACGAAUUUGGAGCGUCUAAAACUAACCGUAGGAACUUUCAACAAUAUUCUUGGAAUAUGGUGAAGAUGUUGAAAGGCGGAAGAGCAGAUCCGGCCAUACAUAGUAUUUGUGAUUGAACGCUGGGUGCAAUCAAACAAACUGCUCAUUCAAAGUCUACUUCUCGUUAUUAGCACCUUACUUCUUUCCAUGAGGUCGGAAAUAUUUCAUUGGCCUCUUGCAUCGCUACUUUCUAGUUCUUUACAUUGAUGGAGGUUGACAAAUUCGCAAGGAAUGUACCAAGCCAACCAUGAGAAGCUCAUUGACUACUUGCUAGCAAUCCAAGGAAUAAUAGUAUUUCCAUCCACGGAAUUUUCCCAUG